rnacentral:lncRNA from 1 species
AGGGCUUCACUAAAACGGUCAGUACUCUCUCCUCGUAGCUCCGAUUUAAAUUUCGUUUGUUGCUAUGGAAAGAUAACGAAGUUCCCGUCAUUUUGGGUACAAGUUUCACUAUUUUUGGAUCAGUAUUGAUGUCUGAACAUGCUUCUGAAGUUGAGGGCUGAAGCUGUCAAAAUGGUGUUUUGAGGGCUGCGGGUUUGGGUACACAAACGGCGCAAAUGAAUGAUUCUAAGCUUGCGAAACAACGCGGUACGACUGUUGAAUCAGGUGGGUUCCCUUAGAAAACGAACACUUUAAUAGAUUAGGUUUAAUAGUUUUGAUUUUUCUGUUAUUAGUGUGAUUCUAAUUUGAUUUU